rnacentral:rRNA from 1 species
AGUGAACGCUGGCGGUAGGCCUAACACAUGCAAGUCGAACGGCAGCACAGUAAGAGCUUGCUCUUACGGGUGGCGAGUGGCGGACGGGUGAGGAAUACAUCGGAAUCUACUUUUUCGUGGGGGAUAACGUAGGGAAACUUACGCUAAUACCGCAUACGACCUACGGGUGAAAGCAGGGGAUCUUCGGACCUUGCGCGAUUGAAUGAGCCGAUGUCGGAUUAGCUAGUUGGCGGGGUAAAGACCCACCAAGGCGACGAUCCGUAGCUGGUCUGAGAGGAUGAUCGCCCGCACUGGAACGGAGACACGGUCCAGGCUCCUGCGGGAGGCAGCAGUGGGGAAUAUGGGGCAGUGGGCGCAAGCCUGGUACAGCCAUACCGCGUGGGUGAAGAAGGCCUUCGGGUUGUAAAGCCCUUUUGUUGGGAAAGAAAAGCAGCAGGUUAAUACCACGCGGUUCUGACGGUAACCAAAGAAUAAGCACCGGCUAACUUCGUG